rnacentral:rRNA from 1 species
GAUGAACGCUGGCGGCGUGCUUAACACAUGCAAGUCGAACGAUGAAGCCCAGCUUGCUGGGUGGUUUAGUGGCGAACGGGUGAGUAACACGUGAGUAACCUGCCCUUUACUCUGGGAUAAGCCUUGGAAACUGGGUCUAAUACUGGAUAUGACUUCUCAUCGCAUGGUGGGGGGUGGAAAGAUUUAUUGGUUUUGGAUGGACUCGCGGCGUAUCAGCUUUUUGGUGUGGUAAUGGCACAGCAAGGCGACGACGGGUAGCCGGCCUGAGAGGGUGACCGGCCACACUGGGACUGAGAGACGGCCCAGAGUCCUACGGGAGGCAGCAGUGGGGAAUAUUGCACAGUGGGCGCAAGCCUGAUGCAGCGACGCCGCGUGAGGGAUGACGGCCUUCGGGUUGUAAACCUCUUUCGGUAGGGAAGAAGCGGGAGUGACGGUACCUGAAGAAGAAGCGCCGGCUAACUACGUG